CUAUAAGUGAAAUAUGCAGUAGACAGAGUGAAAAUAUAAAAUAUUGAAUAUAAGAAGAUCUUAGUGAGCCACAGCUUAUUAUGGUGUUUGACUUUUGUGCUCUGCAAGACAACCAUAAAGGGUUAAAUCAUUAGACCCAAGGAAGGCAGGUAUGUUAGUAUCAUAUCUUUUCUGUCUUUUACUUUUCUCUUUCUUUCUUCCUUCCUUUCUUUCUUUCUCCUCAAUUUUGGUGAAUAGCUGCAUAAAAUUCAUAAACUCUUUUCACAGUAUCAAAAAUAGAAGCAUAAUUUAUUGGGAAAUCACAUAGCGCUGUGAUAUGCUGUGUUAUUAUUUUUGCUAACCUAGUUUUCACAAUCAGAUUGUAAAUUUUGAUAAUCUAUGUGGAGAUUUGGAUACUCUGACACCUUUCAUAGAAGUUUGAGUGGAAGACAGUGGAACCUGCUAUGGAGGAGUUUCAUUUUCGACGGGAUCCAGUGUAUUCCUGGCCUAUGUAAGAAGAUUUCAUUACUGUACAUUUAUUUUCCACUAUGCCUCUGGCCAUGCUCUUCAAAUAGAGAAAGAAAAUUCAAGUCUAGCUACUUAGAAUGAAUACAUUUCUAUAAUGUAGAAACCCCAAGAAGGCUGCUUGGUUUGAAUUUCAAAUCCUUUCUGUGUCAUUUUGUUGUAUGACUUUUCUUGACAAUAGUGUAUCUGAACACUCCUGCAUAUAAGAUCUUAAAUGAUAAUACAUAUUUCCUAUAAUAAUUCAAUCACUCCAUCAAUGGAAGAAAAGCGAGAGGAUAAGAAAAAAAGGAAAAAACAAACCUACAUUUAACACCCAGAUGUGAUGGGUAUUGAAACAUUCACAACGGUGUCUUCCUAUUCAGUGACUAAUUCAUGCCCACAGAAAUGUUACAGUAAUUCUAAAGGAUUCUGAAAAUAGCACCUAUGUUAUCAACCUCAAUAAAUAAGCUGCCAGGAGUUGAACACACAUUUGCCUUUGGAUGAAAGCAAGGUUAUUUUUGCCACUGGUGAGAAUAGACAAGGAAACCAAGCCUGAAUAGAUAUAUUUAAGUGCAGUAAUACAAUAUCUUGUUCCAAUAAUGAAACCAUUUUCUUUCUGUGACAAGGUUAAUGCUGCUUAUUUUUAAAACUUCCUUACCUGGUUUGCUCUUUUUGUAGCAAGUUUCUGUCUUCCUCACAUUUGGUCUGGGGCAAAUUAACUGUUAGUAGUUGCAUUUCCUUGGAGGCAUCAUGUGUCUAGUGCUUCAUUUCAUUUCAGGAUGGUCUCUUCAGGUCAGAACAUCUAGCCUUCAGCCUCUCAGAUAAAUUGAAGUAGGAAGGUUAAGAGGCAACAGAAAAGGCAAGUAUAGAAUGAAGUGUUAAAAUAAAUUGUGACAGGAUAAUUAAACCAGAGCCACUGGGUCCACAGUCAGAAGAAAAUUUAUUUGUCACAUAAUUGCUGUUUCCAAAGAUGAUGGAUCAAAAGCAGCUAUGAUGAAAGUUACUGUUAACUAUACCUACAGAAAAUUAUAACAGAGAUUGGGAAAACACUUGUUUCAUGUAUAAAUGUUUCUUGGUAGUUUUUUCCUAUAAAAAUCCCUAUGAACACAUUAUUUACUUCAUGUCCAUUUCCUGUACCAUUAAAACCUAGUCUAUAAUUUAAAUUUCUUUCCUUUCAGAUCUGCUUUAUUAUUAUUUCAUUUUAAAACAUUCAUUUUAGCAGGCUAGACAGAUUGUUCUAUGCUUAAGAUCACUGGCUGCUAUGGUACAGGACCCCAGUUUGAAUCCCCAAACCUAUGUAGCAGCAUCCAGGAGAUCGGAUACACUCUUCUGUGCUUGACCAGGACCAGACACACUUGUUGUAAAGUAUGUGUACACAUCCAGCUGAAACAUUCUUAAUAGUAAAAAUAAUAAAAU
ensembl:lincRNA